rnacentral:tRNA from 1 species
UCCCUGGUGGUCUAGUGGUUAGGAUUCAACACUUUCACUGAGGAAGGUCUGGGUUCAAUCCCUGGUCUGGGAA